rnacentral:rRNA from 1 species
UUUGAAAAUAAUUUAAAGUAGGGCCUGCCCACUGAGUAUUUGAAGGGCCGCAGUAUUUUGACUGUGCAAAGGUAGCAUAAUCAUUAGUUUUUUAAUUGAAAGCUUGUAUGAAUGGUUUGAUGAGAAAAUGACUUUCUAUAUCUAAAUUUUUAAGAACUUUAUUUUUAAGUUAAAAAGCUUAAAUUUUUUUAAAAGACGAGAAGACCCUAUAGAGUUUUAUUAUUUUAUUAAAUUUAUAGAAUUUAAUAAUUUUAAUUUAAACAUUAAUUUGAUUGGGGUGAUUGAAAAAUUUAAUUAACUUUUUCUAUAUAUAAACAUAAAUUUAUGAAUAUUUGAUCCAUACAAAUGAUUAAAAGAUUAAAUUACCUUAGGGAUAACAGCGUUAUUUUUUUUUAGAGUUCAAAUCGAAAAAAAGGAUUGCGACCUCGAUGUUGGAUUAAAGUUAAUUUUAGGUGCAGAAGCUUAAAAAUUUGGUCUGUUCGACCAUUAAAACUUUACA